rnacentral:rRNA from 1 species
UACCUGCAGCUCAAGUGGUGACCGCUAUUAUUGGGCCUAAAACGUUCGUAGCCGGUUUGGUAAAUGCCUGGGUAAAUCGUGUAGCUUAACUAUACGAAUUCCGGGUAGACUGCCAAACUUGAGACCGGGAGAAGCUAGAGGUACUCCUGGGGUAGAGGUGAAAUUCUGUAAUCCUGGGGGGACCACCAGUGGCGAAGGCGUCUAGCUAGAACGGGUUUGACGGUGAGGAACGAAGCCCUGGGGCGCAAACCGGAUUAGAUACCCGGGUAGUCCAGGGUGUAAACGCUGCUUGCUUGAUGUUAGUUGGGCUCCGAGCCCAAUUAGUGUCGGAGAGAAGUUGUUAAGCAAGCUGCCUGGGAAGUACGAUCGCAAGAUUGAAACUUAAAGGAAUUGGCGGGGGAGCACAGCAACGGGUGGAGCGUGCGGUUU